AUUAAAUAUAAAAUUUAAUUUUAAAGAAUUGGUACUAUUUAAUAUAUAUUCCACCAUAUUGUAUAUAUGGUAAAGUCAGCCAUUUUUGUGAAAUCCGUCUUUUCUUGAUAAUUGAACAUGAAGAUCGGGCUUUGUGCAUACAGUGGAUAUAAAAUAUAUCCCGGUCAUGGUAAAACCAUGGUAAAAGUGGAUGGAAAAACAUUCACUUUCUUGAAUUCAAAAUGUGAAUCUGCACAUUUAAUGAGGCGUAAUCCAAGAAAAGUCACGUGGACUGUAUUAUAUAGACGAAAACAUAAAAAAGGACAAGAAGAAGAACAAGCAAAAAAAAGAACAAGACGUACUCAAAAAUUUCAACGUGCUAUUGUAGGUGCAUCUCUUACAGAUAUUUUAGCAAAACGUAAUAUGAAACCAGAAAUUCGUAAAGCACAGAGAGAACAAGCAAUUAAAAUGUCUUAGAAUAAAUGAAUUGCUUCACCCAGAAUUGUUAUAUUCAUUACACUGUCUGGCUUUUGCGGAGCUGCAAAGGAACAAAAGAAAGCUGCAAAAGCAACAAAGAAAGCAGUUGUACCUCCUAAAACAAAGGCUAUUCCAAAACAUAAAGCUGCAAAAAUAACACAAAAAUCAGCUCCACGUGUUGGAGG